UAGUCCAUGCCGUCAACUAUGAGAGCUCAUCUUAGAAAAACUGAGAUUUAGUUAACACGUUAAGCUCUUCGCCAGGGAAGUACGAUUGCAAGGUUAAAACUCAAAGGAAUUGACGGGAAUCCAUACAAACGGUGGAGCAUGUGGUUUAAUUCGAUACAACGCGUAAAAUCUUACCAGACUUUGUAUAAAUUUACUAUGAAUUUACAAGAUUGCAUGGCUGUCGUCAGUCCGUGUUGUGAAACGUUUGGUUAAUUCCAGUGAACGGACGCAACUUUUAUGUUUAAAUAUUUUUUAUUAGGCAAAUUGUUAAGAAAUACUUAAAGGAAGGUGAAAAUGACGUCAAGUCAGCAUGCCCCUUAUGCUCUGGGCUACACACGUGCUACAAUGGCCGUGACAAAGAGUUGCUACUUUGUGAAAACAAGCUAAUCUCAUAAACGCGGCCUCAGUUCGGAUUGCAGGCUGAAACUCGCCUGCAUGAAGGUGGAAUCGCUAGUAAUCGCCGGUCAGCUAUACGGCGGUGAA
rnacentral:rRNA from 1 species